GGUGAACGCUGGCGGCGUGCUUAAGACAUGCAAGUCGAACGGCAGUCUUCGGACUGUAGUGGCGCACGGGUGAGUAACGCGUAACUGACCUACCCCAAAGUCGCGGAUAACGAUUCGAAAGAAUCGCUAAUACGUGAUGUGCUGUCAGAUUGUGUUCUGCCAGUAAAGAUUGAUUGCUUUGGGAUGGGGUUGCGUUCCAUCAGGUAGUUGGGGGGGUAAGGGCCCACAAAGGCGACGACGGAUAGCCGGCCUGAGAGGGUGACCGGCCAAAGGGGCCCUGAGACACGGGUACCACUCCUACUGGAGGCAGCAGUUAGGAAUUUUCCACAAUGGGCGAAAGCCUGAUGGAGCGACGCCGCGUGAGGGAUGAAGGUCUUCGGAUCGUAAACCUCUGAAUCAGGGACGAAAGACACUUCGGUGGGAUGACGGUACCUGAGUAAUAGCACCGGCUAACUCCGUGCCAGCAGCCGCCGUAAUAC
rnacentral:rRNA from 1 species